rnacentral:rRNA from 1 species
UGCAGUCGAGCGGAACGAGUUAUCUGAACCUUCGGGGGACGAUAACGGCGUCGAGCGGCGGACGGGUGAGUAAUGCCUAGGAAAUUGCCCUGGUGUGGGGGAUAACCAUUGGAAACGAUGGCUAAUACCGCAUAAUACCUUCGGGUCAAAGAGGGGGACCUUCGGGCCUCUCGCGUCAGGAUAUGCCUAGGUGGGAUUAGCUAGUUGGUGAGGUAAUGGCUCACCAAGGCGACGAUCCCUAGCUGGUCUGAGAGGAUGAUCAGCCACACUGGAACUGAGACACGGUCCAGACUCCUACGGGAGGCAGCAGUGGGGAAUAUUGCACAAUGGGCGCAAGCCUGAUGCAGCCAUGCCGCGUGUGUGAAGAAGGCCUUCGGGUUGUAAAGCACUUUCAGUCGUGAGGAAGGUAGUGUAGUUAAUAGCUGCAUUAUUUGACGUUAGCGACAGAAGAAGCACCGGCUAACUCCGUGCCAGCAGCCGCGGUAAUACGGAGGGUGCGAGCGUUAAUCGGAAUUACUGGGCGUAAAGCGCAUGCAGGUGGUUUGUUAAGUCAGAUGUGAAAGCCCGGGGCUCAACCUCGGAAUAGCAUUUGAAACUGGCAGACUAGAGUACUGUAGAGGGGGGUAGAAUUUCAGGUGUAGCGGUGAAAUGCGUAGAGAUCUGAAGGAAUACCGGUGGCGAAGGCGGCCCCCUGGACAGAUACUGACACUCAGAUGCGAAAGCGUGGGGAGCAAACAGGAUUAGAUACCCUG